CAGGUAGUGUGUCUCAGUGGAGUAUCAACAUAAAAUAGAACCUCAGGCCAUCAUUUGAUUAUUAAUGGACCAUGAAAGGUUGCGACUAUCUUUACCAACUGACACUGAUUACAUGUUUAUCGAGCUGCAUUGAGUCCUCGUGAGGAAACCAGAGACCCUGGAAUUGCUACACUGUCACUAACCUAAUGAAGAAGAAAUACCACAAUGUGUGCAUGAACAACAUGUACAGCAGGCAGCACUGGAGGAGUUUAGGAAUGUGUGACCACAGGGCCCUUUGGCCCCACGGCUGCAUGUCUUCCUCCCUUGUCUGGGUCCGAAGACACGGACCAUCACAC